rnacentral:rRNA from 1 species
ACGAACGCUGGCGGCUUGCUUCACCCCUGCCAGUCGCACGGAAAGGCCCUGCUUUUGUGGGGUGCUCGAGUGGCGAACGGGUGAGUAACACGUGAGUAACCUGCCCUUGACUUUUGGAUAACUUCAGGAAACUGGGGCUAAUACCGGAUAGGAGCUCCUGCUGCAUGGUGGGGGUUGGAAAGUUUCGGCGGUUGGGGAUGGACUCGCGGCUUAUCGGCUUGUUGGUGGGGUAGUGGCUUACCAAGGCUUUGACGGGUAGCCGGCCUGAGAGGGUGACCAGCGACAUUGGGACUGAGAUACGGAGCAGACGCGUACGGGAGGCAGCAGUGGGGAAUAUUGCACAAUGGGAGGAAGCCUGAUGAAGCAACGCCGCGGGCGGGAUGACGGCUUUCGGGUUGUAAACAGCUGUAGCCUGUGACGAAGCGUGAGUGACGGUAAUGGGUAAAGAAGCACCGGCUAACUACGUG